rnacentral:tmRNA from 3 species
GGGGAUGAAAGCUUUCGAUGAUUUGUCCUUUAAAAACAAGGCAAGCUGAGUAUUCUCAAACCUCAUAAAACUUUGAGAAAACAAUAAUUGCUAACUUAUUUAAUAAGAGGCAACCAGCAUUAGCAUACGCUUAGUGCUACAUCUUUACUAUUGAUUCCCGGUAGGUAGAUAAAGGUGUUAUAUAAUCGGGAUAGGUAAUUAUUUUAGCUUUAAAGUAAUUACCAAAACCCAAUAAAGCUAGGAUAUGAAAAUUUCGCUUAUCUUUUAUUUCAUAUCUUAAAUUAAAGAUGAGCUACGCUUGUAGAAUUGUUUUUAAUAGCUUUUCAGACGAGGAUUCAACUCCUCCAUCUCCACUA